rnacentral:rRNA from 1 species
AGUGGCGGACGGGUGAGUAACACGUGAGAAUCUGCCUUGGGGUCGGGGACAACCACUGGAAACGGUGGCUAAUACCGGAUAAGCCGAUUGGUGAAAGAUUUAUUGCCCGAAGAGGAGCUCGCGUCUGAUUAGCUAGUUGGUGAGGUAAGAGCUCACCAAGGCAGCGAUCAGUAGCUGGUCUGAGAGGACGAUCAGCCACACUGGGACUGAGACACGGCCCAGACUCCUACGGGAGGCAGCAGUGGGGAAUUUUCCGCAAUGGGCGAAAGCCUGACGGAGCAAGACCGCGUGAGGGAGGAAGGCUCUUGGGUUGUAAACCUCUUUUCUCAGGGAAGAAGCUCUGACGGUACCUGAGGAAUCAGCCUCGGCUAACUCCGUGCCAGCAGCCGCGGUAAUACGGAGGAGGCAAGCGUUAUCCGGAAUUAUUGGGCGUAAAGCGUCCGCAGGUGGCGAUUCAAGUCUGCUGUCAAAGCACGGGGCUUAACUCCGUAAAGGCAGUGGAAACUGAAUAGCUAGAGUGCCGUAGGGGUAGAGGGAAUUCCCGGUGUAGCGGUGAAAUGCGUAGAGAUCGGGAAGAACAUCGGUGGCGAAAGCGCUCUACUGGACGGCAACUGACACUCAGGGACGAAAGCUAGGGGAGCGAAUGGGAUUAGAUACCCC